rnacentral:rRNA from 1 species
UGGCUCAGAACGAACGCUGGCGGCGCGUCUUAAGCAUGCAAGUCGAACGGCAAGAGGUAGCAAUACCUCCUAGAGUGGCGGACUGGUGAGUAACACGUGGGUGACAUACCCUUCAGAUGGGGAUAGCUAUUAGAAAUAGUAGAUAAUACCGAAUACGAGCACAGGGGUUAGAGAUCUGUGAGGAAAGGAGCUAAGGCUCCGCUGAAGGAAUGGCCUGCGGCCCAUUAGCUAGUUGGUGAGGUAAGAGCCCACCAAGGCGAUGAUGGGUAUCCGGCCUUAGAGGGUGAACGGACACAUUGGGACUGAGAUACGGCCCAGACUCCUACGGGAGGCAGCAGCUAAGAAUAUUCCGCAAUGGACGAAAGUCUGACGGAGCGACGCCGCGUGGAUGAAUAAGGCCGGAAGGUUGUAAAAUCCUUUUGAAACUGAAGAAUAAGCGUUGUAGGGAAUGACAGCGUGGUGACAGUAGGUUUUGAAUAAGCAACGGCUAAUUACGUGCCAGCCGCUGC